CUCCUAGGGACGGCAUGGAAGGGCACCAGUAAGCCAGUGACUCAGCCCCUGUAAUAUGGUUAGAGGUAGAGAAUCCCAGUGGAGAGAGGGGAACCGGCCAGGCAGAGACAGCAAGGGCGGUUCGUUGCUCCAGUGCCUUUCCAUUCACCUUCACACUCCUGGGCCAGACUACACUCAAUCAUAGGACCUACUGAGAGAUGAGUCUUCAAUAAAGACUUAAAAGUUGAGACCGAGUCUGCGUCUCUCACAUGGUCCACUUGGUCGAGCAUUUUUGGGGCAGCGAUCGGUGCCCCCAGGCAAACUGCAGUCGACGGUGAAGAAGAUCUUGGCCCCGAAGUCUGCAGUUCCAAGGCUGUCUGCUUCCCGAACAGCUCUGCGAUCAGCUCUGCAAUCCGCAGAGACUUCACAUGCAGAGCUGGUCGUUAUGGCCGUAGAAGUUGAAAAGUAUUAAAUUCCUGGGUCACCCUGCGCAUCACUGCCAGUUUCCAGCGUUUCUGACCUACAGGUGUUCUUGUGACCUGGCGGUUGUGCGCACUUUGGGGAACAGCGUCACUCAGCUAUGCACCAAGCUGUCUGAGGGCCACAGCGAAGCCUGGAUGCGGUGGUCUAAACAGUACCUCGGCGAGUGCAAGCACUUCCUUGCCUCGUGCACCAUCCGGCCACAGUUCCCACCAAUACCAGAAAUGCCGGUGGUGCCCUCACCCGUCUGGCUGCUGACAGUGUACAGCAUGGAUGUGCUGUUGUGGCUUGACGAGGUGACCAAGAAGCUCGCCCGUUACGCUUCGGACACGGGUGCUUGGGCCACAAAUUGUGGGGAAUGAACACAGGCAUGUCCUCACUGCUGGUGAGGGCGAGGGCCUGCUAGCCAUGGUGGCCGGCCUUAUGAAGCGGUACCGACUCGCUGGGAUACCAGCCCCCCAGCUCAUGUACGUGGACCGGGACUGUUGCUCCAAGAUGGUUGCCAUGUUUGGGCUCCCGAGUGGAGCAGCAGUCUAAGGCACUGCAUCUCAGUGCUAGAGGCAUCAUUACAGACACCCUGAUUCGAAUCUAGGCUGUAUCACAACUGGCCGUAAUUGGGAGUCCCAUAGGGUGGCACACAAUUGGCCCAGCGUCGUCUGGGUUUUGAGUCUCAUAGCAAAGGGUCUGGAUACUUAUGUAAAUGUGA
rnacentral:lncRNA from 1 species